ensembl:lncRNA
AAAGGGGAGAGGAGACCCGUAGAUUAGCCCUCGGUCCACUGGGCCAAUCAGGAAGCGUCUGUUGUAGGUGUGAUGCGUCUGUCGACGUAUCCUAUAUUACGAUUGGUUUACCAAGCUGCUUGUUAAAAGGAGCGCCUCUAUUUUGAGGACGUUUUACGACAUCGUCAAGAUAUUGAAAUGACAACAGCUAUUGUAGAUAGCUAUGGAUGUGAAAGCAGAUCUAUUUAAAACCAAAUGAGAAAGCUGUGGAAUUGUUGACAAACUAACAAGGUUGAUGACAACGUGGGUCUGCUGCUGUCAGAGCUGAAGCGGUUGGGGUUGUGGGGGCGUGUCAACGUCAUCGUCACCAGCGACCAGGGAAUGGCCCAGUAUUACACUGAUCGCAUCAUCAGACUGGGCGAAUGUCAUCACCCUGACAACUACUCAGUAGAAGACCUAACCCUUGCUGCUAUCAUACCCAAUGGAGCUAUACACACACACACAUAUACUAACUGCAUGCUGCUUCCUGGCUGGGGAGGGCUGUGUCAACACCUCCCUAAUGGUGGGACUGGUGGUGGGGGUACUGCUGGUUCUCACCACACUCACAGGUCAGUCUGCCUUAUUGUUUGUAUUACAUGCAUUACAUUAUUAUCUUGUUUCUAUUGAAAUAUGUUGUUUUUACUAUAGCUGAAAGACAGGACAUUUAAAUGAGCACUACAGUCG